AUUAAACGCUGGCGGCAUGCCUUACACAUGCAAGUCGAACGGCAGCAUGGGUGCUUGCACCUGAUGGCGAGUGGCGGACGGGUGAGUAAUACAUCGGAACGUGCCAUUGAGUGGGGGAUAACGUAGCGAAAGUUGCGCUAAUACCGCAUAUUCUGUGAGCAGGAAAGCAGGGGACCGCAAGGCCUUGCGCUCUUUGAGCGGCCGAUGUCAGAUUAGCUAGUUGGUGAGGUAACGGCUUACCAAGGCGACGAUCUGUAGCGGGUCUGAGAGGAUGAUCCGCCACACUGGAACUGAGACACGGUCCAGACUCCUACGGGAGGCAGCAGUGGGGAAUUUUGGACAAUGGGCGCAAGCCUGAUCCAGCCAUUCCGCGUGCAGGAUGAAGGCCUGGUUGUAA
rnacentral:rRNA from 1 species